UACGUAGGGGGCAAGCGUUGUCCGGAAUCAUUGGGCGUAAAGAGCGUGUAGGCGGCCCGGUAAGUCCGCUGUGAAAGUCGGGGGCUCAACCCUCGAAAGCCGGUGGAUACUGUCGGGCUAGAGUGCGGGAGAGGCGAGUGGAAUUCCUGGUGUAGCGGUGAAAUGCGCAGAUAUCAGGAGGAACACCGAUUGCGAAGGCAGCUCGCUGGAACGUAACUGACGCUGAGACGCGAAAGCGUGGGGAGCAAACAGG
rnacentral:rRNA from 1 species